rnacentral:rRNA from 1 species
UACGUAGGGGGCAAGCGUUGUCCGGAUUUAUUGGGCGUAAAGAGCGCGUAGGCGGCUAUACAGGUCCGUUGUGAAAACUGGAGGCUUAACCUCCAGACGUCGAUGGAAACCGUAUGGCUAGAGUCCGGAAGAGGAGAGUGGAAUUCCUGGUGUAGCGGUGAAAUGCGCAGAUAUCAGGAAGAACACCCGUGGCGAAGGCGGCUCUCUGGGACGGUACUGACGCUGAGACGCGAAAGCGUGGGGAGCGAACAGG